GAUGAACGCUGGCGGCGUGCCUAAUACAUGCAAGUCGAGCGAACAGACGAGGAGCUUGCUCCUCUGACGUUAGCGGCGGACGGGUGAGUAACACGUGGAUAACCUACCUAUAAGACUGGGAUAACUUCGGGAAACCGGAGCUAAUACCGGAUAAUAUAUUGAACCGCAUGGUUCAAUAGUGAAAGACGGUUUUGCUGUCACUUAUAGAUGGAUCCGCGCCGCAUUAGCUAGUUGGUAAGGUAACGGCUUACCAAGGCAACGAUGCGUAGCCGACCUGAGAGGGUGAUAGGCCACACGGGAACUGAGACACGGUCCAGACUCCUACGGGAGGCAGCAGUAGGGAAUCUUCCGCAAUGGGCGAAAGCCUGACGGAGCAACGCCGCGUGAGUGAUGAAGGUCUUCGGAUCGUAAAACUCUGUUAUUAGGGAAGAACAAAUGUGUAAGUAACUAUGCACGGCUUGACGGUACCUAAUCAGAAAGCCACGGCUAACUACGUG
rnacentral:rRNA from 1 species